ensembl:lncRNA
AUGGCACAGGCACGGUGUGCCCUGACUCUCAUCCUCCUCCUGCUGGCCCUGCCAGCCCAGGAUGUUGGGGCUGCUCCGUGGCGAGCACAGGCAGUGGCACUGGAGCGUGAGGCUAUGCAGGAGCAGGAAGGCCAGCAGAAAAUGCCAGUCCCUGGGGAAAACACCAGGGCCUUUUACACAACAGAUGGUGCUCCAGGAUACGAGGGGAGCUCUUUGGGGGGAAUUUGUUUGCAGCUGUGGGCACAGGCAGGGCUUCUCCAACUUCUCAGCUGGACUCUGCACUUGAACUCCCCUGGCACUGCAGGAAUCACUGAUCCAGAGCAUCAAGAUGGAAUGGGACAAUCUUCCAUGGAGACGUCCAAAGUGCUACAUGAAAUCCUGAGGGAGCUGAGAAUGAUACUAGGAGGUGUGAAGAGCCUGAGCCUCAACAGCGCUGUCAGCAGGAGAUCCACCAGCGCUGGGGACAGCGGGGCAGACCUGGACGCUGUGGAGAACGGAGCAGACCCAGACACUGUGCUGGGCAGGGCAGACACAAACGCUGUGGAUGCUAAUUCUUUCCAGAAGUACUGCAUCGAAGGAAUUGUGGCGGUCCUUGGCUCCAUGCUGCUCGGAAUGGUGCUGUGCUGUGUGCUCCAUGUAUGGAGGAAGAGGAGAAAGAAAACGUAGCAUCAGGGAGCACCUCACAGCUUCCUGAGCCACUUCAGAGUGUCUGGACAGCCGCACAGAAGAAUAUUUGGACCAGUAUAAAUAAAGAGCAGCAGCACAAUCAAUUUUGUUGUACUGGCAGCAAACUUCCAUGGGUGCCACUGUAGGGCCUGGGAGUCCCCUGGCUACUGAGGGGCUGCAGGGAGCCCCAGAAUGCCACUGAAUCUAGCUUGCCGCUGGUUCUAAUUGAUUCUUACUUGAUUUUCACUAUAUGUAUUAUCUAUGCUGUAAGCAAUAGAGUGACCCCAGACACGACCCUUUGUUGUGUUUUUGCAAAUUCGUAUUAAUUCCACCUGAACAAGAGGAAGAACUUUUCCAUGCAAGUGACCACGCACUGGAACAGAUUGCCCAGGUUUUGGAGUCUCACCCACUUGUGAUAUUCCAGGACUGUCUGGACAUAAUUCUAUGCAAUGUGCUCUGGAUUAUCCUGCUUGAGGAGGGAGGUGGAACCAGAUGACCGCACACUGUUGUACCUUUCAACCUUAUCCACAAUAUGAUUGAAGUUUGUUUUCACUAAUACCUUUGCCAGUGAUUCACCAGCACACAGUGGGUGGAAGGGGUCUCCCAUGCAGGGGAGGCACCCAGUGAGAUUUCUUCAUAUGCUUCUUCAUAUGCUUCAUAUGCAUCUCCGAGAGAAAUGCAUGGCAAGGAAACGAGCUGGAUGAGUGAGCUGGGGCAGACCUUGACGGGGCUUUUUCCAUCCCAGCUUACUGGGACACCAGGAAAAGGUGGGCUGCCUGUGCAGGCAUCCCCUGUGGAGCCCUGCCAUAGGGCCCCUGUGUCUGGCUGCUGCCCAGACAGGCACUGAAUGCUCCCUAGUCUCCAGCAACAUAUAGACCUGGGAAUAUUUUAUAUAUAUUCUGUUCUAUACCUUUUAUCAUAUUUUGACAUAUUAACACUCUGUGGUUCACACAUUUAUUCUGAACCUGCUUUCCUGUUACUCCAAUAAACCAAACUAUUCAUGAAUCUGGAUUGAGUAAGUUCUCAUGGAACAUGACUGCGCUUACAGUGC